rnacentral:lncRNA from 1 species
GGAACAUUUAUCAACAGCCUAAAAUAAAGACAACACGAGGAGAAUUUGGUUGCUUAUAUAGAUUCAAGGUACAAUCCUGCUGGAUUCUGGGAUUACAGGACUGUAGACAAAAGAGAAAUCAUCAUGGACUGUUCACUGGACAAAAUUUCAUGGAGAGGAGAAGACCUUUGGCGGUUCAUGGAUGUUCUAUAAUAAGUUAGCAGGGAAAAUCAAUACCCAGAGAAGGGGAGAGACGUCCAUGGCACACAGGAGAGGACAGAGCCAAGAAUGAAUAUAGGACACCAGUGCCCCAACUCUUAACCACUACCAUACACGGUUUUAUAAAAAGAAAUAUCACAGUGUGCAUGCACAGAAGUACGACCAUGUGAAGAGGUAGCAAGAGAGCAGCAAUCUACAAGCCAAGGAAAGAGGCCACAGAGGAAACCAACCCUGCCAGCAUCUUGAUCUUGGACUUCCAGCUUCCAGAACUGUGAGAAAAUAUAUUUUUGUUGUUCAAGCCACUCAGUCUGUUAUAUUUUGUUAUGGUAGCCCUAGCAAACUAAUACAAACCCC